UACAGAGGUCCCGAGCGUUUGUUCGGAUUCACUGGGCGUAAAGGGUGCGCAGGUGGGUUUGCAAGUUUGAUGUGAAAGCCCCGGGCUUAACCCGGGAAUGGCAUUGAAUACUGCAGAUCUGGAGGAUUGGAGGGGGGACUGGAAUUCUUGGUGUAGCAGUGAAAUGCGUAGAUAUCAAGAGGAACACCAGUGGCGAAGGCGAGUCCCUGGACAAUACCUGACACUGAGGCACGAAAGCCAAGGGAGCAAACAGG
rnacentral:rRNA from 1 species